rnacentral:rRNA from 1 species
CCCUUAGAUGUUCUGGGCCGCACGCGUGCUACACUGAGUAAAUCAAUGGGUAAGGGAACACGAAAGUGCAACCUAAUCUUGAAAUUUGCUCGUGAUGGGGAUCGACGGUUGCAAUUUUCCGUCGUGAACGAGGAAUACCUUGUAGGCGCGUGUCAUCAUCACGCGCCGAAUACGUCCCUGCCCUUUGUACACACCGCCGUCGCUCCUACCGAUGGGUGAUCCGGUGAAUGAUUCGGACUUCAGCGGCUCCCCUGGGGUGCGCCGGAGAAAGUUUUGUGAACCUUAUCACUUGGAGGAAGGAGAAGUCGUAACA